rnacentral:tRNA from 1 species
ACUUAAAUAGCUUAUAUAAGAAGAGUAUAAUAUUGAAGAUAUUAAGGAGAUAAAUUAUCUUUAAGUAUUUA